AAUACAAGGGUACCUACAUACAUAAAAGAAACCUUACUAAAGUUCAAAACACACAUUGCACCUCACACAGUAAUAGUGUGAGAUUUCAACACCCCACUCUCAUCAAUGGACAGAUCAUGGAAACAGAAAUUAAACAGAGACCUAGUCAGACUAAGAGAAGUCAUGAGCCAAAUGGACUUAACAGAUAUUUAUAGAACAUUCUAUCCUAAAGCAAAAGGAUAUACCUUCUUCUCAGCUCCUCAUGGUAUUUUCUCUAAAAUUGACCAUAUAAUUGGUCAAAAAACGGGCCUCAACAGGUACAGAAAGAUAGAAAUAAUCCCAUGCGUGCUAUCGGACCACCACGGCCUAAAACUGGUCUUCAAUAACAAUAAGGGAAGAAUGCCCACAUAUACGUGGAAAUUGAACAAUGCUCUUCUCAAUGAUAACCUGGUCAAGGAAGAAAUA
rnacentral:lncRNA from 1 species